AAAUUCGCGGUCUACGUGGUUUUUCCGAUUUGAAGAAAUAAUAAAAAUAAAUCUACAACUCAAUCCUUACGUAAUUUGAACUAUUUUAAAUUUUACCAAAUACUUGAACAAGUGCCACAGUGUUAACAAUUUGUGUUUUGUACUGUUUUAAUUACUUUUGUCAACAUAAAACUUUCAAUAUGUUACCAAUUAAAAAAGAACAUAUGCAAUAUUUACAUUCUCGUAAUAUUACCGUCAGGGAAUUUAAGCCGGAAAUGUCGCAGCCCCGUAAAGUAAUCCACCUACCAAAGAUCAGGAUGGUCCGUGGCCGAGCCAGUGGCAUCCGCAUCACUAAUGUGCAUACCGUCAAGCCUCCGGACCCUGAGCUGGUCAAACAGCAGGAGGAAAACAGGCUUCGGGCUCAGUUACAAAAGGAAAUAGUGUCUCGAUCGCGGAGCUGCAGCAAUAAGAGCUACGAAUGUUUCCUACCGGUCGUCACAGGGCGGCAGUUCUGUGCGAGACAUAUUUUACAGGACCCCAGUGCGCCGUACAAGCAGUGCGGCCACACCGGCGGCGGCGCGCGCUGCCCGCUGCCCGCGCCCGCUCCGCCCGUCGGCUCCGAACCCCGCGACCAGAGAGAUCAAGGGUUAUGCUACCAACACGCGCGCUCGGCGGCGGCGGCGCGCGCGCGCAGCUCGGCGCCGCCGCCGCCCGUGGCCACCACCGAGACCCUGCUGCAUCAGCUCACGCACUACGUCAGGAACGAGCGAACGAGAACAACGUCAUGUGCAUCAGCCGUUUCUGUCGUCAGCGAGCCCGAGGUGGACACCACUGCGCCGGAGGCAGCUGAUCCGUUUAAGCAAAUCGACGCAACCGCGGUAAACGCAGCAUACUCCACCUCCAUAAUGGAGUGUUGCAGCGCGAGCGACAGCGACGCAGACAGCCUCACCGCCGGCCCUGAGUACGAGGAGGCCUUGUCAGACUAUGAGGACAGCACUGUGGAGGACGGACCUCUGUGGCGAGCGGGCGUGUACACGGCCGAAGAAGCCGUAUCCGAAGCUAAAAACGCAUUAGUUUCGCUACAGAGCGCCUACAUCCGCCAGAUGUCGCACUUGCGGUGUUUGCUACAAACGGCCAGGCUGAAAUACUUGCGGGAGCUCAAGGCGGAGAAGGAGUUGUACUGCAGCAUCAACGCGCAGGCCCGCAGCGGGCCCCUGACGGUGCGGGAGCGCCGGCAACUUCGCAAGUUAAAAUGCUACGCCGGCUACCACAGGAAACACGGCCACGACGCCGUGCUGGCCAGGAAACUGCAGCGCAAGCGGGCCAAGGUAAACUUGGUGGCGAACCGUCCCGUGCCCUCCCACGCACGCUGCACAUUCGCUGAGGGCAGCAUGCGGUGCGCAAACAAUGUUGUGCCCGCUGCCAAGCACUGCCUGAAACACAUCAUGCACGACAGACAUCAGGUAAGGCUAUGGAUAGGGUCCACGCACGCUGCACAUUCGCUGAGGGCAGCAUGCGGUGCGCAAACAAUGUUGUGCCCGCUGCCAAGCACUGCCUGAAACACAUCAUGCACGACAGACAUCAGGUAAGGCUAUGGAUAGGGUCCACGCACGCUGCACAUUCGCUGAGGGCAGCAUGCGGUGCGCAAACAAUGUUGUGCCCGCUGCCAAGCACUGCCUGAAACACAUCAUGCACGACAGACAUCAGGUAAGGCUAUGGAUAGGGUCCACGCACGCUGCACAUUCGCUGAGGGCAGCAUGCGGUGCGCAAACAAUGUUGUGCCCGCUGCCAAGCACUGCCUGAAACACAUCAUGCACGACAGACAUCAGGUAAGGCUAUGGAUAGGGUCCACGCACGCUGCACAUUCGCUGAGGGCAGCAUGCGGUGCGCAAACAAUGUUGUGCCCGCUGCCAAGCACUGCCUGAAACACAUCAUGCACGACAGACAUCAGGUAAGGCUAUGGAUAGGGUCCACGCACGCUGCACAUUCGCUGAGGGCAGCAUGCGGUGCGCAAACAAUGUUGUGCCCGCUGCCAAGCACUGCCUGAAACACAUCAUGCACGACAGACAUCAGGUAAGGCUAUGGAUAGGGUCCACGCACGCUGCACAUUCGCUGAGGGCAGCAUGCGGUGCGCAAACAAUGUUGUGCCCGCUGCCAAGCACUGCCUGAAACACAUCAUGCACGACAGACAUCAGGUAAGGCUAUGGAUAGGGUCCACGCACGCUGCACAUUCGCUGAGGGCAGCAUGCGGUGCGCAAACAAUGUUGUGCCCGCUGCCAAGCACUGCCUGAAACACAUCAUGCACGACAGACAUCAGGUAAGGCUAUGGAUAGGGUCCACGCACGCUGCACAUUCGCUGAGGGCAGCAUGCGGUGCGCAAACAAUGUUGUGCCCGCUGCCAAGCACUGCCUGAAACACAUCAUGCACGACAGACAUCAGGUAAGGCUAUGGAUAGGGUCCACGCACGCUGCACAUUCGCUGAGGGCAGCAUGCGGUGCGCAAACAAUGUUGUGCCCGCUGCCAAGCACUGCCUGAAACACAUCAUGCACGACAGACAUCAGGUAAGGCUAUGGAUAGGGUCCACGCACGCUGCACAUUCGCUGAGGGCAGCAUGCGGUGCGCAAACAAUGUUGUGCCCGCUGCCAAGCACUGCCUGAAACACAUCAUGCACGACAGACAUCAGGUGCUGUUCGCGGCGUGCGGCGACGCGCGCGGGCUGAGCGCGUGCGGCGAGGCGCGCGCGCGGCUGCCGCUGCCCGCCGCCGCCUGCCGCCACCACGCCAUGCCGCCCACGUACACCGUCUUCACGCUCAAGAAGGACGAAACAGACAGCGACGAUUCCCGCUCGUCGGAGGCGUGACCCUCGGGCUCCGGCUGGGCUCCCUGCGGGCCGCCGGCCUCCGACUCCGACUGAAGCUACUACUGUAUCGGCUGUGAGCACUGCGAGCCAGCCAUGUUUCAGAACAAACCCCACAAUGACGGCUACUGUAUUGUCGCUUCGCCUGUCUUGGGCUGUAUGCUACAUUGGGGGUCAUUGGCCGAUGGGCUAGAGUCAAACCAAUAUAAGUUGGCAGCGAUUUAGAUAGCCUAGACGAUGAACAUGUUAUUUUAAACGUCAAACUUCAAUGAAAUGAUGACGUUUACUUGACACUUGCACCGUCUGGGCUAUCAAAAUUGCUGCCAACUUAUCUCGGUCUGACUCUAGAUUUCUGACACUGGCGGAAACUACUCUCAAUGUAGUCCGAGAUCCCACCGACGCUACAUGCGGCGCCGGAAUAGGGUUGUUUCCAAUUUUUUUUAAACGCUUGUAUUACGUUCUAUAUUAACUAAAAGUUACCCUAAAAUUCAUCUUUUAUAAUAAAAAUGGCUUUAAAUAUCAAUCAAUCAAUUUUUCGUGUUAUGGCUCCAUCAAGGUGUUGAUGAUUCUGCCAAUGUCGAGGUUGGAUAAGACACGGCUAGUAUAUGAAUCUUAUCAUAUUACGGUCAUGGACAGUGUUCGGUGGAGUAUCGUUAAAUUAACAAAAUAUAUUUUGGCAGAUGCUUUCGCGCCCAAAACGCUCUUUGAAAAUUAUGUGACGUCACAGUUUACGGUUUGACACAUAACUACAUACACACGUAGAAGAUACGAACUGGCAACUGACAUUUGUCAUUUGUUAUUUAUCGCCUAAAUGUCAACAGUGUCAAUCCGAGACUUGUGACGUCAUCAGAAUCUUCAAUGACGUUUCGAGUUUGGUCACGAAACGUGUGCCAAAAGAUAUUAGAAAUUCAAUAUUUACAAAAAUAUGGUCAUUACAGGUCCCCUAAAAGUAGUUUAACAUGUUCUUAUAAUCCAAAAGAAUUUAUUGGGAUACAAAAAAUCUAAAAAUCUGCCCUAAUAUUUGUAGAUGGAAACAACCCUAUUGACCAUUGCGUGAGGCUUUUGGCGGCAGAUCUUUUUUUUUAUUUACAGACAUACAUAAAUAUAUAGAUACCACUUACAAUAAAAAAAAUUAUAAAACCAGACCUGGAGGUUCAUAUAUGUAGACAUAAACAUGUAACAUGUAAAUCUUUGCAGAACAGUUGAAUUCUCCGCCUACCUUCUCAAUGAUGUUGUCGCCCCAUAACAUAAAUUUUGCACUUGCAUUUAUGAAACUUGUAAAUAUAUAAAUACCAUAUUUUUUCCAUACAGAAUGUGAUAUUUUGUAAAUGUAAAAUGAAUCUAAGAUGAGAAUGUGUGUAAUGUAAUAUAAGACGAGAGUGUCCAUAAUUCAUUAUGAUGAAUGUUUGUAAAUAAUCAGAAUAAAGUUUAAGUAAUGAAA